GCUUCGAUAGCUCAGCCUGGUAGAGCGUUACCUUGGUAAGGUAAAGGUCGCGGGUUCAAUUCCCGCUCGGAGCU
rnacentral:tRNA from 1 species